ensembl:lncRNA
GAGUGAUUUGUGCAUAAUAGACAAAGGCGGCCAUUGUUCCUCUCACUCCUAGUGAAAAGCCAAUUGUCCCGGUUGAUAUAUUAUCGAAUAGAUAUUUGAAAAACACCUUGAGGAUUGAUUAUAAAAAACGUUUGCCAUGUUUCUGUCGAUAUUAUGGAUCUAAUUUGUCGUGACCGCAAUUUCCGGUGGAUUUCUCAACAAAACGUGAACAAGAAAAGGAGGUAUUUCGGCUAUAAAAAUAAUCUUUAUGGAACAAAAUAAACAUUUGCUGUCUAACUGGGAGUCUCGUGAGUGAAAACAUCCGAAGCUCAUCAAAGAUGUCUCUCUUUCCAUUCAUCAAAUGGCGUGAAUGCACUGUUUAGAUGCUGGAAUUACUAUGGACUGGACAAACAUGCACAGGACCUGAGCCCUAGGACCAUGCCUCAGGACUACCUGGCAUGAUGACACCUUGCUGUCCCCAGUCCACCUGGCCGUGCUGCUGCUCCAGUUUCAACUGUUCUGCCUGCGGCUAUGGAACCCUGACCUGUUCACCGGACGUGCUACCUGUCCCAGACCUGCUGUUUUCAACUCUCUAGAGACAGCAGGAGCGGUAGAGAUACUCUUAAUGAUCGGCUAUGAAAAGCCAACUGACAUUUACUCCUGAGGUGCUGACUUGCUGCACCCUCGACAACUACUGUGAUUAUUAUUAUUUGACCAUGCUGGUCAUUUAUGAACAUUUGAACAUCUUGGCCAUGUUCUCUUAUAAUCUCCACCCGGCACAGCCAGAAGAGGACUGGCCACCCCUCAUAGCUUGGUUCCUCUCUAGGUUUCUUCCUAGGUUUUGGCCUUUCUAGGCAGUUUUUCCUAGCCACCGUGCUUCUACACCUGCAUUGCUUGCUGUUUGGGGUUUUAGGCUGGGUUUCUGUAAAGCACUUAGAGAUAUCAGCUGAUGUAAGAAGGGUUAUAUAAAUACAUUUGAUUUGAUUUGAUAGCAGGAGGGUGAUGGAAGAGAGGCUAACUGCCUGUAUAGACCACCAUUGACUUCAGAGCAUCAUGUUCUGAUUAACUCCAGGGGUGCAUGAUUCCAUUUUGGUGGAUACCUUUUGCCUCCAACACAGUGUCUAAUUUAUUUUAAAUUACGCAGAGGGGAAAGGAAAGAUGGGAAACUUUCUCUCUCUCUUUUGAUUAACCGCUGUGGGAACACAAAACCAAAAGGAAUGAAGAGAAACCUUUUCAAAGUGAAAAGUUCAUUUUCCUUAGCUGGUUGGAAAAUGUUAAUUACUCAAAUCUACCAGUUUUGGGGGUCAUUAGUGUACUUCAGAAAGUUCUGCUCUUUGCCAAACUUUGCUCUAAAAUUAAGCCUCACUAGAUGGAUGUCUGAGGAUGUCCUGAGAGAGAGGUUGGCACAGGGAUACUCCACGUUGCUGCCUGCCUGCCUGCCUGCAGGCUUACUACUGCUACAAAGAGACCCACAUUUACACAGUAACUCAAAUCCAAAUUAUAACGCCAUCAAAGGAGACAUUACUUCAACCCACAUAGAUGGUUUCCUAUUCUCCCAUGAUGUGUACAGUGUGUUGUUAAUGAAGUGUGGUGCUGGCUGAGGUCCUGGGAGCCCUCUGGUCCAAAGGGCUUUGAAAGAAACUAUUCAGAACAUGGCUGAACCGGGGCCAAGUCAAACGACGCCUGCUCCUUUCAUCACAACAUCUGGGGUGCCACAAAAACAUUCUGGAAGGAUCCAGUCUGCUGAGACCCAAUCAGCUCCCAACACAUCCGUCUCCAUCCCCCUUCCUCCUCCUCAAACCUCAUCCUGCCAUCCUUCCCCCGUUCCCUGCAGGACACAAACCUCUCAUUCAUACUGCGCUGAGGAGAAAAAUAACUGCAUUCUGAGGACUAGAGGGGACACAGAC